GUUUACUAGUCACUCUUCGGAAAAUUCCUAGUAGAAUUCAUAUAUAGGGAACUUGCUGCAAAGUUUCAUUCGGUUUGGUUUGAAACCUCUGGGAAAUUGAGAGGACAUCUAGUCAUUUAAUUCAAAUAGUUAUUAUAAUAAUUAAAUAUACUGCAACAAAGUCCACAAAUCUAAACUACCCACCAAAAUAGUGAGAAAGUGUAAUUAAAUAUUAAAAAG
rnacentral:lncRNA from 1 species